rnacentral:rRNA from 1 species
GUGGGGAAUCUUGCGCAAUGGGCGAAAGCCUGACGCAGCCAUGCCGCGUGAAUGAUGAAGGUCUUAGGAUUGUAAAAUUCUUUCACCGGGGACGAUAAUGACGGUACCCGGAGAAGAAGCCCCGGCUAACUUCGUGCCAGCAGCCGCGGUAAUACGAAGGGGGCUAGCGUUGCUCGGAAUUACUGGUCGUAAAGGGCGCGUAGGCGGACAGUUUAGUCAGAGGUGAAAGCCCAGGGCUCAACCUUGGAAUUGCCUUUGAUACUGGCUGUCUUGAGUACGGGAGAGGUGAGUGGAACUCCGAGUGUAGAGGUGAAAUUCGUAGAUAUUCGGAAGAACACCAGUGGCGAAGGCGACUCACUGGCCCGUUACUGACGCUGAGGCGCGAAAGCGUGGGGAGCAAACAGGAUUAGAAACCCCAGUAGUCC